GGAGUUCGAUCCCUGGCUCAAGAUGAACGCUGGCGGCAUGCUUAACACAGGCAAUCGACGGGAAUUGUGUUGUUUUCCAUGGCGACGGGUGAUAAACUCGUAAGACCUGCCCUUGGGUAGUGGAACCACACCUGGGACACGGUUGCUAAUACCCCUAGGCUGAGGAGCAAAAGGAGAAAUCGCCCAAGAGGGGCUCGCGUCUGUUAGCUAGGUGGUGAGGGGCAAUAGCUUACCAAGCGAAUGAUCAGUACUGGUCGAGAGGAUGAUCAGCACACUGGACUUGAUACAACGGCCCAGGAAACUGCCUACGGGAGGCAAGCAUUGGGGAAUUUUCCGCACUGGGCGAAAUCCUGACGGAGCCAUGCCGCGUGUAGGUUGGAAGGCCUACUGGUCGUCAACUUCUUUUCUCGGCGAAGAAACCAUACGGUAUCUGAGGAUAAGCAUCGGCUAACUCUGUGCCAGCAGCCGCGGUAAGACAUAGGGAGCAACGUUAUCCGGAAUGAUUGGGCGUCAAGCGUCCUGUAGGUGGCUGUUCAAGUCGCCGUCAAAUCCCAGGGCUCAACCCUGGACAGGCGGGUGGCAACUACCAGCUGAGUACGGUAGGGCAAGGGAUGUCCGGUGGGGCGUGGAAAUUCAUUGGAGAUCGGAAAGAACACCAACGGGCGAAGCAUCUUCUGUGCCCGACACUGACACUGAGAGACGACAGCUAUGGAGCAAAUGGGAUUAGAGACCCCCAGUAAGUCCUUACCGAAACCGAUGGAACAGGUAGCUGUGCGACUCACCCGUCAGUGCUGUAGCUAACGCUUUAAGUAGCCCUCCUGGGGAGUAGCGUUCGCAAGAAUGAAACUCAAAGGAAUUGACGGGGGCCCGCACCAUCGGUGAGCAUGUGGUUUAAAUCGAGCAAGCGAAGCAACCUUCCAGGCUUUGAACAUGCCUCGCAUCCCCUUGAAAGAGAGGGGUGGCCCUCGGAACCGCGGACACAGUGGUGCAUGGCUGUCUUCCGCUCCGUGCCGUAAGGUGUUGGGUUAAGUCUCGCAACUAGCGCAACCCUCGUUGUUUGUUGCCACUAUGAGGUUUGGAACCCUGGACAGACGCGCCGGUGUUAAGCCGGAGGAAGGAGAGAUAGCCAAUUCAUCAUGGCCCUUAAUGCCCUGGCGACACACGUGCUACAAUUGGGCUGGGACAAAGGUCGCGAUCUCGCUAGUGUGGAGCCUUUAACUCCAAAAACCCUCCUCAGUUCGGAUUGCAGGCUGCAACUCGCCUGCAUGAGCAGGAACUCGCUAGUAAUCGCCGGUCCAGCCUACGGCGGUGACUCGUUUCCCGGGCCUUGUCCCCACCGCCCGUCACACUAUAUAGGAAGCUUGGCCAGUUUGAAGUCAUUAUACCCUCCCCGUAAGGAGGGGGAUGACCAAGGCUAAAGGCUAGGCUGCGACUGGCAGUGGCGUCGUAACACGGUAGCCGUACUGGCAGGUGCGGCUG
rnacentral:rRNA from 1 species